AACGAACGCUGGCGGCAUGCCUAACACAUGCCAGUCGAACGAGACCUUCGGGUCUAGUGGCGCACGGGUGCUUAACGCGUGGGAACCUUCCCUUAGGUUCGGAAUAACUCCCCGAAAGGGGUUCUAAUACCGGAUAAUGUCUUCGGACCAAAGAUUUAUCGCCUUUGGAUGGGCCCGCGUUGGAUUAGCUAGUUGGUAGGGUAAAAGCCUACCAAGGCGACGAUCCAUAGCUGGUCUGAGAGGAUGAUCAGCCACACUGGGACUGAGACACGGCCCAGACUACUACGGGAGGAAGCAGUGGGGAAUAUUGGAAAAUGGGCGAAAGCCUGAUCCAGCAAUGACGCGUGAGUGAUGAAGGCCUUAGGGUUGUAAAGCUCUUUUAAACGGGAUGAUAAUGACAGUACCGGGAGAAUAAGCUCCGGCUAACUCCGUG
rnacentral:rRNA from 1 species